GACGGAGGGUGCAAGCGUUAUUCGGAUUUAUUGGGCGUAAAGAGCAUGUAGGCGGUCGAUCAAGUCAGAUGUGAAAGCCCGGGGCUUAACCUCGGAAGGGCGUUUGAAACUGGUCGACUUGAGUUCGGGAGAGGAAAGCGGAAUUCCGGGUGUAGAGGUGAAAGUCGUAGAUAUCCGGAGGAACACCGGUGGCGAAGGCGGCUUUCUGGACCGAAACUGACGCUGAGAUGCGAAAGCGUGGGGAGCAAACAGG
rnacentral:rRNA from 1 species